CCUACGGGAGGCAGCAGUGGGGAAUUUUGGACAAUGGGCGAAAGCCUGAUCCAGCAAUGCCGCGUGAGUGAAGAAGGCCUUCGGGUUGUAAAGCUCUUUUGUCAGGGAAGAAACGGUGAGAGCUAAUAUCUCUUGCUAAUGACGGUACCUGAAGAAUAAGCACCGGCUAACUACGUGCCAGCAGCCGCGGUAAUACGUAGGGUGCAAGCGUUAAUCGGAAUUACUGGGCGUAAAGCGUGCGCAGGCGGUUUUGUAAGUCUGAUGUGAAAUCCCCGGGCUCAACCUGGGAAUUGCAUUGGAGACUGCAAGGCUAGAAUCUGGCAGAGGGGGGUAGAAUUCCACGUGUAGCAGUGAAAUGCGUAGAUAUGUGGAGGAACACCGAUGGCGAAGGCAGCCCCCUGGGUCAAGAUUGACGCUCAUGCACGAAAGCGUGGGGAGCAAACAGGAUUAGAUACCCUGGUAGUCCACGCCCUAAACGAUGUCUACUAGUUGUCGGGUCUUAAUUGACUUGGUAACGCAGCUAACGCGUGAAGUAGACCGCCUGGGGAGUCGGUCGCAAGNUUAAAACGUCAAAUGAGUAGAGNGNGAGAGNGCGAGGACGACGACGAGGGAGAGG
rnacentral:rRNA from 1 species